AUUUUUCUGUGAAUAAAAUGAUAGGGUGAGAGGAGGACAUAGCAUUUCUGUUUGGAACAGAAGCCUGCCUGACUAGUGGAAGAUGAGAUUUCAAGACAGAAGAAUUAAGAAAAACUAUAGGCACUCCUGGAAUGAAGGAAACUCGGCAUCAGACUUCAGGGAGACUAAGAGGAUAGAGGCGUUCUAUCACGUGAAAGGGAAACGAGAAAGGAAUGUGUCUAAACUGCUGUGGGUGCCUGGAAUCCCUUUCUGUUGGAUGAGUGCGCUGAUUAUAGCCACACAACACACGAGAUGCCGAACUAUGAGAUUCAUGUUGGGCACCAGUCACGCACUUGCUAUUGAGUGUGUGCGUUGCUUCUGUGCUGUGCCUGAGCUGUGAUUGGUCACUCAGCAGCAAGCCUCCUGCUCACCUGCACACAGGUAUUCACCUCUCCUCCAGAGGCAUCUGCUUGGGAAUUUAUAAAUGCUGAAUUAUGAUUUAUAUUAUCAUUUAAGUAUUAACGCCAAUAACAUCACCUGAUCAUCUUCAAUUAUAAAUAUUAUUUUU
rnacentral:lncRNA from 1 species